rnacentral:rRNA from 1 species
UACGUAGGGGGCAAGCGUUGUCCGGAUUUACUGGGCGUAAAGAGCGUGUAGGCGGCCAAGCAGGUCCGUUGUGAAAACUGGAGGCUUAACCUCCAGACGUCGACGGAAACCGCGUGGCUAGAGUCCGGAAGAGGAGAGUGGGAAUUCCUGGUGUAGCGGUGAAAUGCGCAGAUAUCAGGAAGAACACCAAUGGCGAAGGCAGCUCUCUGGGCAUUAACUGACGCUGAGGAGCGAAAGCAUGGGGAGCGAACAGG